GGGGACCCGCAAGCGGUGGAUGAUGUGGAUUAAUUCGAUGCAACGCGAACAACCUUACCUACCCUUGACAUGUCUGGAAGGCUGCUGAAAGGUGGCUGUGCCCGAAAGGGAACCGGAACACAGGUGCUGCAUGGCUGUCGUCAGCUCGUGUCGUGAGAUGUUGGGUUAAGUCCCGCAACGAGCGCAACCCUUGUCCCUAGUUGCUACGCAAGGGCACUCUAGGGAGACUGCCGGUGACAAACCGGAGGAAGGUGGGGAUGACGUCAAGUCCUCAUGGCCCUUAUGGGUAGGGCUUCACACGUCAUACAAUGGACGGUACAGAGGGUUGCCAAGCCGCGAGGUGGAGCCAAUCCCAAAAAGCCGUUCGUAGUCCGGAUCGCAGUCUGCAACUCGACUGCGUGAAGUCGGAAUCGCUAGUAAUCGCGGAUCAGCAUGUCGCGGUGAAUACGUUCCCGGGUCUUGUACACACC
rnacentral:rRNA from 1 species